rnacentral:rRNA from 1 species
CAAACUCCGAAUGCCGCAGGGUGAAACACGGGAGUCAGUGCGUGAGGGAUAAGCUUCACGCGCGAGAGGCAAACAUGCCAGACCAGCAGCUAAGGUGCCCAAAUACCGUUCAGUGGAAAGGAUGUGAGGUUGCUUAGACAGUGAGGAUGUUGGCUUAGAGGCAGCCAUCAUUUAAACAGUGCGUAAUAGCUGACUCAUCGAGCGAUCUCGCGCCGAUAAUGAUUGGCGAUAAGCGGUAUACCGAAGCUCUGGAAGACGAGUGGUUUCGACCAUUCGGAUUGGUAGGGGAGCGUUGUAGCGACAUCGAAGCGGAAGCGGAAGCAACCGUGGAGUUUCUACAAGUGAGAAUGCAGACAUGAGUAGCGACAAGACAGGUUAAAUUCCUGUCCGCCGUAAACCCAAGGUUUCCUGGGGAAGGUUCGUCCUCCCAGGGUUAGUCGGGACCUAAGUCGAGGCCGAAGGGCGUAGACGAUGGACAGCUGGUUUAAUAUUCCAGCACCGGCUGUGGUUAAGUGUAGUUGUGACAUAUGAGCAGAGAGUAGCCGUCGAUUGAAAGUGACGGUCUCGCAAGGGGACGCUGAGGCCUCGGCCAAGGUGGAUUGCUUGACGCUUGUAUCAAGAAAACCAAUUACAUGUUCCCACGGUUGCCCGUACCGUAAACCGACACAGGUGGGUGGGUAGAGUAUACCCAGGCGCGUGAGUGAAACCUCGUUAAGGAACUCGGCAAUCUAGCCCCGUAACUUCGGAAGAAGGGGUGCCCCUCGCAAGAGGGGUCGCAGUGAAAUGGGUCAACCGACUGUUUAACAAAAACACAGCACUCUGCUAAGUCGAAAGACAACGUAUAGGGUGUGACACGUGACCAAUGCGGAAAGAUUAUGGCAAGAGGUUAGAGCCGCAAGGCUCGAAGCUUUGAACCGAAGUCCCCGUGAAUGUCGGCCGUAACUAUAACGGUCCUAAGGUAGCGAAAUUCCUUGUCGGGUAAGUUCCGACCUGCACGAAUCGUGUAACGAGUUGACCGCUGUCUCAACGAGGAGCUCAGCGAAGUUGUAGUGGCGGUGAAGAUGCCGCCUACCCGCAGUAGGACGGAAAGACCCUAUGCACCUUUACUACACGCUGUUAUUGUUGUUUCGAUUUUGAUGCUUAGCGUAAGUGGAAGACUGUGAUUCAGACCUUUUGGGGUUUGAUGAGUCGCCAAUGAAACACCACCCUUCGGAAUUGGAAUAACUAACCUCUUGCCUUAUAUCAGGCAGAGGGACACUGGCAGCCGGCUAGUUUUACUGGGGCGGUAUCCUCCCAAAGAGUAACGGAGGAGUACGAAGGUUGGCUCAACCUGGUUGGCAAUCAGGUGUCGAGUAUAUGGAUAGAAGCCAGCUUAACUGUGAGAGACACAUCUCGAGCAGGUACGAAAGUAGGUCCAAGUGAUCCGGUGGUUGAAUGUGGAAUUGCCAUCGCUCAACGGACAAAAGGUACGCUAGGGAUAACAGGCUGAUCCUGCCCAAGAGCUCAUAUCGACGGCAGGGUUUGGCACCUCGAUGUCGGCUCAUCACAUCCUGGGGCUGGAGAAGGUCCCAAGGGUCCGGCUGUUCGCCGGUUAAAGUGGUACGCGAGCUGGGUUCAGAACGUCGCGAGACAGUUCGGUCCUUAUCCACUGUGGGCGCAGGAGAAUUGAGGGGUUCAGACUCUAGUACGAGAGGACCGAGUCUGACGAACCGCUGGUGUUCCAGUUGUCGUGUCAACGGCAGUGCUGGGUAGCUAUGUUCGGAAAGGAUAAGCGCUGAAAGCAUCUAAGCGCCAAGCCUAUCCCAAGAUGAGUUUUCCCUGAAGAGUCGUGGUAGACCACCACGUUGAUAGGUUACUGGUGUAAGCGUAGUAAUACGUUCAGCUAAGUAAUACUAAUAACUCGUUCGGCUUGGUC